GUUGCUUUAAGGAGAAAAUUCCUCGCAGGAUAUUUGUGGUCAGCUUUUUGUGGAGGUUCCUUAAUUACAAUGAAAUAUGUGGUUACAGCAGCACAUUGUCUUGUGAACGAUUACGGAAAGUUGAAAAAUUUCAAUAAUAUUAUAUUAGCAGCUGGAACAACGAAGACAACGAUGACGGUAUUAUCGUUAUACGAAGAACAUUGGAGAAGGAUAAAAUACUUCUAUAAACAUAAGUUUUAUAAUUCAAAAAUUUUAGAACAUGAUUUUGGAAUUAUAGAGGUAAGUUUAUUAUUAUUUGUUAAUAAA
rnacentral:misc_RNA from 1 species